UACAGAGGGUGCGAGCGAUAAUCGGAAUUACUGGGCGUAAAGCGCGCGUAGGCGGCUUUGCAAGUCGGGUGUGAAAUCCCCAGGCUUAACCUGGGAACUGCAUUCGAGACUGCAUUGCUAGAGUAUGGGAGAGGGAAGUGGAAUUUCCGGUGUAGCGGUGAAAUGCGUAGAUAUCGGAAGGAACAUCAGUGGCGAAAGCGACUUCCUGGACCAAUACUGACGCUCAUGUGCGAAAGCGUGGGGAGCAAACAGG
rnacentral:rRNA from 1 species